rnacentral:rRNA from 1 species
AGCCUCAGGUAACAUUUGAUCUGAGGUUAAACCUGCCCAAUGUUAAAUCUAUAUAAAUGGCCGCGGUACUUUGUCCGUGCUAAGGUAGCGCAAUCAAUUGGCUUUUAAUUAAGGCCAUGUAUGAACGGAAUCACGGGGUUUAGCUGUCUCUUAGCUAAUUUAUCGAAAUUACUAUUUAGGUGAAAAAGCCUAAAUAAAGAAAAAAGACGAGAAGACCCUUAGAGUUUUUCUAAAAUCAAGAACAUAUUCUUGAAAAAGUUUAGUUGGGGCAACAUAGGAGCAAUAACAAUUCUAACCUCCUGUAAAACACUUACCGAUAUUGAUAAACAUGAAUAAACUACCUUAGGGAUAACAGCAUAAUUUUAUAAAUAAGUUUGUGACCUCGAUGUUGGACUAGGAAACUAAAGGGCUAGCCGCCUUUUAGGAAGGUUCUGUUCGAACUAUUAUUCCU